UCCGUAGGUGAACCUGCGGAAGGAUCAUCAGCAAAGCUUUGAAAAAGUCGCUGUCCAGCCAUUUGUGGCGCAGCGACCAGACUCCUGAGUGGGUCUGAACGCGUCUUGAGCAAAGAUCUGUUUCUUUUUUUCCAUCAUAAAAGCACAACUUUUGACAACGGAUCUCUUGGCUCUCGCAACGAUGAAGAACGCGGCAAAAUGCGAUAACUGGUGUGAAUUGCAGAAUUCAGCGAAUCAUCGAAUCUUUGAACGCAACUUGCGCUCGCGGGUCUCCCCCCGCGAGCAUGCCUGUUCGAGCACCGCAAACGACGAAUCCAUCACCCUUCCCACGAAAAGGUGGCGCAAGCCCCUGCGGCGCGGGACGGGUGGAGAUUGGGUGCCUUUGUCCGACAGGGGCCCUUGUCGGACAUCCGAAAUUGGGAGCGCUGUGCGUGGACGCCACGCGCCGCCACUUCCUCUUUUGGAUCAAAAGUUGGCGGUUCGAGCGCGCGCAUCCACCCCAGCCACAUUCUCACACUGAAUCUGAACCCGUGGUCUCGGAUCAGGCAAGACGACCCGCUGAACUUAAGCAUAUCAAUAAGGCGGGAGGGGAAGGUCGGACUGGCCAAGGGCACACAGGGGGGGAUA
rnacentral:rRNA from 1 species